rnacentral:rRNA from 1 species
GAUGAACGCUAGCGACGGGCUUAACACAUGCAAGUCGAGCGGCAGCAUGACCUAGCUGUAGGUUGCUGGCGUCCGGCGCACGGGUGAGUCACACGUAUCCCACCUGCCGGUUAUUCCGGGAUAUCCUUUCGAAAGAAAGUUUAAUACUGGAUAGCAUCACGAGACGGCAUCUUCUUGUUAUUAAAGAAUUUCGAGAAUCGAUGGGGAUGCGUUCCAUUAGUUUGUUGGCGGGGUUACGGCCCACCAAGAUAUCGAUGGAUAGGGGUUCUGAGAGGAAGGUGCCCCACAGUGGAACUGGGACACGGGCCAAACUCCUACGGGAGGCAGCAGUGAGGAAUAUUGGUGAAUGGACGAGAGUCUGAACCGGCCAAGUAGCGUGAAGGAUGGCUGCCCUAUGGGUUGUAAACUUCUUUUAUAUGGGAAUAAAGUGGGCCACGUGUGGCUUUUUGUAUGUACCAUACGAAUAAGGAUCGGCUAACUCCGUG